AAUUAAUGCUAUUUUAAAUAGAUGAUUAUGCAAUAAAUCAGCCUUAUUGUGAUAUUUUCCGUGGUGCUUGUGUUUCAUGAAAAGGAAAAAAGAGAAGUUCAUCCACUGACCUCCCUGUUUGUAGGUGUACUUACUGACAGAGCGGGCUUACACUGCUGUGGGCGUCAACACUACGUAUAGUUGGAGAUACAUUAAUUGGAACCCUUCUUAAAGAAUGAAGUUUCUGAGUAUUUGAAGGCAUAUAUAACACCUGAUGAAAAAAAAUGGAAGUCUAUUCCAAAAUAUGAUGGGAGAUGGAUAGUCCAUCAGAGGUCACGUAUUUUGGCUCCUACAACCCAGUCAGGAAAUGAUUCCUGCUGCUCUUGGUUCCAGUGGCUUAGCAUAUGGGGUUGAUAUUAGCUGACUCAAGAUGUCAUGUCCAAGUAUGAGACAUCCCAUCCAUUUAGCUCCCUGCCUUUGUCGUUGGUUGCGUGUUGCACUGAAAAAGGACUGUCUGACAGGUGAAGGAGAGAGAGUCUGUCAAAGCAUAACAUUCGAGAGGUCAGACUGAGACAGAGCAGAAUUCAUUCUUCUGACAAAGAUAUAACAAGAUGAAAUGGAUUUUUAGUGGUCCUUAGCUGAUAUCUCUAUAAUGCAACAUAUUGGACAAUUUUAAAAGAGGUGUGGAAGAAGAAAUCAGAGAUGUAGGCAAGAAAGCUUUUCUCUAAGAAUAACCUGAUUAUGAAAUUUAUAAAGAGAUGAAACAUGAAGCUUGUCUUUAAAGAAAAUAAUUAUUUGUACC
rnacentral:lncRNA from 1 species